GAUGAACGCUGGCGGCGUGCCUAAUACAUGCAAGUCGAGCGAACAGAUGAGGAGCUUGCUCCUCUGACGUUAGCGGCGGACGGGUGAGUAACAUGUGGAUAACCUACCUAUAAGACUGGGAUAACUUCGGGAAACCGGAGCUAAUACCGGAGAAUAUAUUGAACCGCAUGGUUCAAUAGUGAAAGUCGGUUUUGCUGUCACUUAUAGCUGGAUCCGCGCCGCAUUAGCUAGUUGGUAAGGUAACGGCUUACCAAGGCAACGAUGCGUAGCCGACCUGAGAGGGUGAUCGGCCACACUAGAACGGAGACACGGUCCAGACUCCUACGGGAGGCAGCAGUAGGGAAUCGUCCGCAAUGGGCGAAAGCCUGACGGAGCAACGCCGCGUGAGUGAUGAAGGUCUUCGGAUCGUAAAACUCUGUUAUUAGGGAAGAACAAAUGUGUAAGUAACUAUGCACGUCUUGACGGUACCUAAUCAGAAAGCCACGGCUAACUACGUG
rnacentral:rRNA from 1 species